rnacentral:rRNA from 2 species
ACUAUACGGUGAACUGCGAAUGGCUCAUUAAAUCAGUUAUCGUUUAUUUGAUAGUACCUUACUACUUGGAUAACCGUGGUAAUUCUAGAGCUAAUACAUGCUAAAAACCCCGACUUCGGAAGGGGUGUAUUUAUUAGAUAAAAAACCAGCGCCCUUCGGGGCUCCUUGGUGAUUCAUAAUAACUUAACGAAUCGCAUGGCCUUGCGCCGGCGAUGGUUCAUUCAAAUUUCUGCCCUAUCAACUUUCGAUGGUAGGAUAGUGGCCUACCAUGGUAUCAACGGGUAACGGGGAAUUAGGGUUCUAUUCCGGAGAGGGAGCCUGAGAAACGGCUACCACAUCCAAGGAAGGCAGCAGGCGCGCAAAUUACCCAAUCCCGACACGGGGAGGUAGUGACAAUAAAUACUGAUACAGGGCUCUUUAGGGUCUUGUAAUUGGAAUGAGUACAAUUUAAAUCCCUUAACGAGGAACAAUUGGAGGGCAAGUCUGGUGCCAGCAGCCGCGGUAAUUCCAGCUCCAAUAGCGUAUAUUAAAGUUGUUGCAGUUAAAAAGCUCGUAGUUGAACCUUGGGCCUGGCUGGCCGGUCCGCCUCACCGCGUGUACUGGUCCGGCCGGGCCUUUCCUUCUGGGGAGCCGUAUGCCCUUCACUGGGCGUAUUGGGGAACCAGGACUUU